UUGGAGGGCAAGUCUGGUGCCAGCAGCCGCGGUAAUUCCAGCUCCAAUAGCGUAUAUUAAAGUUGUUGAGGUUAAAAAGCUCGUAGUUGAACCUUGGGCCUAGCCGGCCGGUCCGCCUCACCGCGUGCACUGGCUCGGCUGGGUCUUUCCUUCUGGAGAACCGCAUGCCCUUCACUGGGUGUGCCGGGGAACCAGGACUUUUACUCUGAACUAAAUUAGAUCGCUUAAAGAAGGCCUAUGCUCGAAUACAUUAGCAUGGAAUAAUAGAAUAGG
rnacentral:rRNA from 1 species